UACGGGAGUGCUAGCUCACAUAGACGGCUUCUAAUGGUAGAUUUGAUUUAAUCCUCUUCUUUGAUCAUCUCGAAUCUUUUUAAUGUUGAAGAUAGAUCAAAGGAGGUGCUAGAUGGUGGAAGAAAAAAUUAGUGGAGAACUCUCUUCUCUCUUAUAUUUUUCCUCACCCAAAAAUCCUAGAACAAUUUAAAGUCUCUCACCCAAAGAGGAGUUGGAUCUCCUCCAAUGCUCAUGCCAAGGACUUGCCACCCACCCC
rnacentral:lncRNA from 1 species